UAAAUAAUCAUCUGCUUAUAUGAUCAAUUUGACCCAGACAGACGUGAUCACUGUAAGCGGUUUGUGGGUAGCCGACUGAACCAGAGUUGAGGUCCCAAGGCUGGAAUCAAACCCGGGACAUGGCAGUUAUACAGUAUUGUAUACGCUGUAACCACUCGGCUAACAAGGUUUAACAGGGUUUUAAAUAGAUAUUCUCCACAUAACGAGGGUCAUGAUGCAGGGUUGAAGACAUGAAUGCAUCAAAUCAAUGUGUUGGCUAUGUAGAAAAUAAGAUGUAAACUCUGACGUGUUGCCAUUAAUGUGUACAUGUUCCCUUGAAUGAAAGAAAAAUCAAUACAUGAAAUAAGAUUAGUUAUUAAUUUACUCCAACAGGAGAGAUGAUCAGAGGGGUAGAGUUUUUACCACCUUUAGUAACAUAAGGACUGAA